rnacentral:rRNA from 1 species
UUCUGGUUGAUCCUGCCGGACCUGACUGCUAUCGGAUUGAUACUAAGCCAUGCGAGUCAUUGUAGCAAUACAAGGCAGACGGCUCAGUAACGCGUAGUCAACCUAACCUAUGGACGGGAAUAACCUCGGGAAACUGAGAAUAAUGCCCGAUAGAACACUAUACCUGGAAUGGUUUGUGUUCCAAAUGAUUUAUCGCCGUAGGAUGGGACUGCGGCCUAUCAGUUUGUUGGUGAGGUAAUGGCCCACCAAGACUAUUACAGGUACGGGCUCUGAGAGGAGUAGCCCGGAGAUGGGUACUGAGACACGGACCCAGGCCCUAUGGGGCGCAGCAGGCGAGAAAACUUUGCAAUGUGCGAAAGCACGACAAGGUUAAUCCGAGUGGUUUCUGCUAAAGGAACCUUUUGUUAGUCCUAGAAACACUAACGAAUAAGGGGUGGGCAAGUUCUGGUGUCAGCCGCCGCGGUAAAACCAGCACCUCAAGUGGUCAGGAUGAUUAUUGGGCCUAAAGCAUCCGUAGCCGGCUCUGUAAGUUUUCGGUUAAAUCUGUACGCUCAACGUACAGGCUGCCGGGAAUACUGCAGAGCUAGGGAGUGGGAGAGGUAGACGGUACUCGGUAGGAAGGGGUAAAAUCCUUUGAUCUAUUGAUGACCACCUGUGGCGAAGGCGGUCUACCAGAACACGUCCGACGGUGAGGGAUGAAAGCUGGGGGAGCAAACCGGAUUAGAUACCCGGGUAGUCCCAGCUGUAAACUAUGCAAACUCAGUGAUGCAUUGGCUUGUGGCCAAUGCAGUGCUGCAGGGAAGCCGUUAAGUUUGCCGCCUGGGAAGUACGUACGCAAGUAUGAAACUUAAAGGAAUUGGCGGGGGAGCACCACAAGGGGUGAAGCCUGCGGUUCAAUUGGACUCAACGCCGGGA